UACGAAGGGGGCUAGCGUUGUUCGGAUUUACUGGGCGUAAAGCGCACGUAGGCGGAUUGUUAAGUCAGGGGUGAAAUCCCGGAGCUCAACUCCGGAACUGCCUUUGAUACUGGCAAUCUUGAGGCUGGAAGAGGUUAGUGGAAUUCCCAGUGUAGAGGUGAAAUUCGUAGAUAUUGGGAAGAACACCAGUGGCGAAGGCGGCUAACUGGUCCAGAUCUGACGCUGAGGUGCGAAAGCGUGGGGAGCAAACAGGAUUAGAAACCCCCGUAGUCC
rnacentral:rRNA from 1 species